rfam:Zea mays cultivar B73 chromosome 1, whole genome shotgun sequence.
CCUCUCGAAGACGACGAACUCGUCGAAUACAUCAUUACUGGGUUGGACCGUGAGUUUACUUUGCUUGUUUCUGCCCUUGUUGCAAGGGUGGAGCCAAUCUCUGUUGAAGAAUUAUAUUCUCAGAUGCUAAGCUAUGAAA